rnacentral:rRNA from 1 species
AUUGCCCGCUGGCGGCAGGCCUAACACAUGCAAGUCGAGCGGAGCGGCGGACGGGUAAGUAAUGCCUAGGAAUCUGCCUGGAAGUGGGGGAUAACGUCAGGAAACGGGCGCUAAUACCGCACACUAACAGAUGAGCCUAGGUCGGAUUAGCUAGUUGGUGGGGUAAAGGCCUACAAAGGCGACGAUCCGUAACUGGUCUGAGAGGAUGAUCAGGGCAACUGGAACUGAGACACGGUCCAGACGCGUGGGGUAGUGAUCAGUUGAGAAUAUUGGACAAUGGGCGAAAGCCUGAUCCAGCCAUGCCGCGUGUGUGAAGAAGGUCUUCGGAUGGUGAAGCACUUUAAGUUGGGAGGCGUUACCAACAGAAUAAGCACCGGCUAACUUCGUGCCAGCAGCCGCGGUAAUUC